UACGAAGGAUCCAAGCGUUAUCCGGAUUUAUUGGGUUUAAAGGGUGCGUAGGCGGGCUAUUAAGUCAGUGGUGAAAGCCCCAAGCUUAACUUGGGAAUUGCCAUUGAUACUGAUGGUCUUGAGUACACUUGAGGUGGGCGGAAUGUGUCAUGUAGCGGUGAAAUGCUUAGAUAUGACACAGAACACCGAUUGCGAAGGCAGCUCACUAAAUUGUAAACUGACGCUGAGGCGACGAAAGCGUGGGGGAUCAAACAGGAUUAGAACCUCCAGUC
rnacentral:rRNA from 1 species